GGUGUUAUAGCAUAGAGGUUAUGCGGGGUACUGUUAAUACCCACCACAGGGGUUCGAAUCCUCUUAACACCU